CUCUGUGAUUUCACUGAUAAUGGUUUACUGAGCCAAAGCAUGUAUUUAACACUUUUAAAACUGCAUGCAAACUUCCUCUAGGGGCAAACUUCUACUUAUGUCACAAUGAUAUCCAUUUGCCCUUGUCAUCUUUUAUUAUUUCCUCUCUCUUUCUUUCUCUCGAUCUCUCUCUCUCUCUCUCUCUCUCUCUCUCUCUCUCUCCCUCUCCAUCAGGUGGCACUGUGGUUUAAGUUUAAAAAAAAUGUUUUAUCUACUCUUCACUGUUCAUUCAAUCCAUAAAACAGAACACCAGGCACUCUGCAUCAAUGUCAUCCCAGACCACAGUUAGGCACCAUACACACCUGAGCUUCAGUCUGUCACAACACAACAGGACUGUGUUCCCAGCAGCCAUCCAUUCCAGAACUUCCUUAGGUAAAUAUUGUAUGUUACUGGAUUUUACUUCCUGUCUGCGAUUGUGAUCAAAUGGAGUGCUGGAGCGACCAGAUGAUAGGCUUCAACUUUCUUCGUUUUAGUUUUUAAUAUAAUGCCAGCACAGCUACAUGGAAAGUAAAGGAGAGGCUGGAAGAGAAGAGAAAGGGAGGAGGGUAGUAGAGGAGAGAGUAGUAAGUGGAGGGAGGUCUGUACUCCUGUAGGAAACCUGUUCAACUUAAUGUUUAAUAAGCUACUGGUCACAGAGCCAGGGUAACUCGAUCCUCUCAGGAGACAAAUGGUGUGUGUUUCUCUGUGUGCGUUUCUUACGUGUGUAUGAAUGCAUAUAUAUGAUUCUAUGGCCUGUGUAAAUCAGAUACACCGUUGAUUAGCUGAUCCUAAACAGAUCUGUUGUUCAAGUCAUUGAUAGCUUUCAUCAUGAAUCCCUCCACCACACAGUCUCUGAGGAGGGGAAAGUAAUAAUAAAUGUUACCUCAUCAGCGGUAGUUUGACACAUCUUUUCACAUGAUUCAUUACUCUUCACAGCCUGCUGCUCCUCCUGUCUCUCAGAGGUGAUAUGAUUAAUCAUUUAGCAGUAAAAUGCAAAUAUCAGACCUGGGACAAAUACAGUGGGUAUCAUAAAUAUUCACACCCCUUGGAUUUCUUCACAUUGUAUUGUGUUACAAAGUAGAUUCAAACAGAUUUAAGUCAUAAUUUAAACUAGGCCACUCAGGAACAUUCACUGUCUUCAUGGUAAGCAACUCCAAUGUAGAUUUGGCCUUGUGUUGUAGGUUAUUGUCCUGCUGGAAGGUGAAUUACUCUCCAAGUGUCUGGUGUAAAGCAGACUGAAACAGUCUAUCCCGUUUAUUUUUAUCCUGAAAAACUCCCCAGUCUUUGCCGAUAUCAAGCAUACCCAUACCAUGAUGCAGCCACCUCCAUGCUGGACAAUAAGAAGGCAGUUUACUCAGUGAUGUGUUGUUGGAUUUGCCCCAAACAUAAGGCUUUGCAUUUAGGCCAAAAAGUGUGUUUCUUUGCCGUGUUUAGUUGCAGUAUUACUUUAGUGCCUUGUUGCAUGUUUUGGUAUUUUUUAUCUCUGUCAUUUAGGUAAUUAUUGUGGAGUCACAACAAUGUUGUUGAUUAAUCCUCAGUUUUUUUCCCAUCACAGCCAUUUAACUCCGUAGCUGUUUUAAAAUCGUCAAUGGCCUCAUAGUGAUGUCUGUAUCUUUGUGUCUGGGUGGUUUAAUACAUCAUCCAUAGCGCAAUUAUUAACUUGACCAUGCUUUAAGUGAUACUCAAUGUCUGAUUUUGUUAUUCUUACUCAUUUAACAAUCACUGCCCUUCUUUAUGAGGCUUUUGAAAGGUUCCUGAUCUCUUUAGUUGAAUCUGUUCUUUAAAUGCAAUACUUGACUGAGGGACCUUACAGGUGUUGUAUGUAUGGGGGACAGAGGAAGGGGUAGUCAUUUAGAAAUCAUGUCAACCUCUAUUUCAAUCCAUGUAACCUAUUUUUUGACAUUUUACUCCUGAACUAAUUUAAGCUUGGCUUAACAAAGCGGGUGAGUACUUCUGCAAUGACUAUAUUUUAUUUCGUUUUUAUUAACUUGUAGAAUUUUCAUUUCACUUAAUCUCUCAAAAUAUGUCAUUGACCUCAACAAUUAGCGCCCCAGGACCAGUGAAAGCAAAAUAACCAUAUUUUACAGAAGGUAUGUUGUACUUUUUUGCAUUUGCAUCUUUCUUUUGAUGUGAAACCCACCGCUGGUGUGCAUGGCAAAAGACCGGGCCAGCCCUAGUCUUUUGGGGGCCUGUCUACUUUCCUAGCUAGCCAGACAGUUUUCUUUUGCUAACGUUAGCUAGCUAGCUACUGUAAAUGUUAUUGUAGCUUCAUCCCUCAAUGAGAUUUUCUUUUAUAUUUCCAACCAGGUGAAGUACUAUGAAGGCACCACUGAUCUCGACAAGAGGCGCAACAUUCAGAACAUUUCACAAUUCAGGUCAAUCAUAUCUACCUUACGGAGGAAGGAUGGCCAGCCACACAGCAGGGUGAUGUUUACUAAGGAGGAGAAGGAAGCUGUGCUGACCGAGAUGCAUGCUGGCCAUUUCGGAGUGAAGCACAUGAUUGCCAAAAUCAACCUACGAUUCUUCUGACGAGGAAUUGUCAAGGAGGUCAGUACCCUGUCAAGCCUGCCAGAAGUUUCAUAGUGCGAAGACUGUGGCGCCAGAGUUGAAGCACAUCAGUUGUUUCACCAAUGCACAUGAUCGGGGUGGACCUCAUCGGACCCUUCACGAAAUCCAGGAAUGGCAGCAGCUGGUGUCUGACGGCGACCAAUCACUUUACCAAGAGGGUGGAGGCAAUACCCAUUAAGGACGAGACUGGCAAGGCCAUGGUUCUCCUGAGGUCAUCUUGAGUGACCGAGGUCAUGAACGCUGGAACAAGGUUUGGUGAAUGGACAAACUAGACCCUCAAGACUGGCAUGGGAAAGUCCCUUGAUUGGUACCAGGAAUGGUGGGAGAACAACCUGAAGGUAAUUCUCUUUGCACACAACAGCAUCCAGGCCUCCACCGAGUACGGACAGGAGCAGCAGCUGUUGGCUGAGGUAAACAAUGCAAUUGUAUAUACAAUUAUUGCAUAUACUGUAGUUUUUCAAUUUGGUAUUUACUUUGUGUUGUUUGUCUAUUGACAUUUUUGUAUAACAUACUUUCAGAUCUUCCUGAGUGGUGCAGUGGUCUAAGAACUGCAUCACAGUGGUAGCUGUGCCACUAGAGAUUCUGGGUUAGAGUCCGCAACCGGUAGACCCAUGGGGCGGCGCACAAUUGGCCUAGCGUCGCCCAGGUUAGGGGAGGGUUUGGCCGGCAGUGAGGUCCUUGUCCCAUUGCGCACUAGUGACUCCUGUGGCUGGCCGGUCUCAGUGCAUGCUGACACGGUCGCCAGGUGCACAGUGUUUCCCCCGACACAUUGGUGUGGUUGGCUUGUGGGUUAAGUGGGCAUUGGGUCAAGAAGAAGUGCGGCUUGGCUGGGUUGUGUCUUGGCCUUCGCCUCUCCCGACUCUGUAUGGGAGUUGCAGCAAUGAGACAACACUGUAACUACCCAUUGGAUACCACGAAAUUGGGGAGGAAAAAAAGGGGUAACAUUUUAAGUUGUCGAACCAGAUCAGAACACCUUCGUGGACCACCUUCAGGCACCGACUGAGAAGGAUGUGGAGGUGAGACUGAACAUUGUCAAGGCGAAAGAAAAACAGAAGGAGAGCUACCGGAGCCGAGUCAAGAAGGGGACCAAGCGCUACUACAUCCGGGCAAAUUACUUGGUUUGGAAGAAGGACGAAAGGAAGCCGAGACCUGGGAAACCUCGCUGGUCUUUCACUCCUAGCUGGGGUCACCAUCUGGCCUGAGCAGCAGGUAGUUUACUCUGGGCACGCUUUUCAUCCGAACAUGAAAAUGCUGCCCCCUAUCCCAAACAGGUUUUAAGGGUUACCUCGGUGGAAGCCAACAAUCUUCUACAGUUGGACAGUCAACCACUGAAAGCCCUGAUGUCCUGCACUUCAGUGAAGCCCAAUAGACAAAGACCAUCGACUGUCCGAGCCCCCCAGGAGGUAUCCCAUCCACCAGAACCUGUGAGUUCAGAUCAAUCUGAUUGUCACUGCUCUUUUUGGAGGGGGACCAGCUUGAGAUAGGCUAUACCUUCUAAAAGUGUUGAAAGGACCUAGAGGUUCUGCCUAACACCCAGACAUGGAUCCACCUGAUGUCCUCCUUUACCAACCACCCUCCGACGUUUCAUUACAUCAUCUACUGUUAUUGUAAAGUUGUCAUUAUCUGCUAAGAAAGUUUUCUUCUCCUAUCAUACAGGGCAAUAUUUGAGAUACACAGAUUAACUAAAAACACUAGCACUGCAAACACAGCAGUGCCUCUUCAAGUCCCCCUUUCCGAGACUGGCUGCCUGUUGAGAACAAGUGACAGGCAGAACCUCUCACCCAGACAGUAACCACCACCUUUAUAUUCCACACCCCAGAAUUCAGUAUUUCAGUCUAUGAUUGCCAUGUGAGUGUACAAAAACAUCUGUGAAAAUAAAUUAUUGACACAACUGUCCCAAAAAAUAUCAGUUUAUGGUAUUAAAAUCUUAAAUAUUGCCAA